rnacentral:rRNA from 1 species
UACGUAGGGUGCAAGCGUUAAUCGGAAUUACUGGGCGUAAAGCGUGCGCAGGCGGCUCGGCAAGAAAGAUGUGAAAUCCCAGGGCUUAACCUUGGAAUGGCAUUUUUAACUCCCGAGCUAGAGUAUGUCAGAGGGGGGUAGAAUUCCACGUGUAGCAGUGAAAUGCGUAGAGAUGUGGAGGAAUACCGAUGGCGAAGGCAGCCCCCUGGGAUAAUACUGACGCUCAGGCACGAAAGCGUGGGGAGCAAACAGG